UAGGGAAUCUUGCGCAAUGGGGGAAACCCUGACGCAGCGACGCCGCGUGCGGGAUGAAGGCCUUCGGGUUGUAAACCGCUUUCAGCAGGGACGAAAUUGACGGUACCUGCAGAAGAAGGCCCGGCCAACUACGUGCCAGCAGCCGCGGUAAUACGUAGGGGCCUAGCGUUGUCCGGAUUUAUUGGGCGUAAAGAGCUCGUAGGCGGUUCGGUAAGUCAGGUGUGAAAUCUCCACGCUCAACGUGGAGGCGCCACCUGAAACUGCCGUGACUCGAGUCCGGUAGGGGAGUGUGGAAUUCCCGGUGUAGCGGUGAAAUGCGCAGAUAUCGGGAGGAACACCAGUGGCGAAGGCGGCACUCUGGGCCGGUACUGACGCUGAGGAGCGAAAGCGUGGGGAGCGAACAGG
rnacentral:rRNA from 1 species